GGGAUCGGACCCCCCAAUGAGACCCCCAUUAUAGGUCAAUGUACGCCUUCAACACGGAGCCUAGUCUCACACCAAACAGCAAGCGAUAAAGGGCUCCAAAAUUACUAGUUUAAAACCAUUCAAACGGGAAAACCAACGGUCUAAUCUAUAUAAAAAAAAACGAGAAACAAAAAACAAUUAUAAACCGCAUAAACAGACGACAACCACUGAACAUCAGAUUUCUGACUUGGGACACGUGAAAACAACUGCAGUGGGAUUAAACGUUUAAAUGGUACCAAACCUUCGCCCUUUUCUAAAACAGUAGUAUAACAUCACAACUUAGAAAAGACACAAGGUUUUUUUACAACACAUGAACAUUAGACAAAAUAUCUUUAUUGGGAUCUAAAUAGUUUAAGUUUAAAACUUGAUUGAUGAUAUUAUACCC
rnacentral:lncRNA from 1 species